UAAACCCAUAACUAGUUCUUUGUUUUAUUUUGUUUCGAUUGUUUCAUCUUAUUCACCGCAGGGCUUGAUGUUGAAUCAAAAAGAGGUGUUCAUGGUUCUUUGCUUGAAAGUAGUUGUUAUAAACCAUCAAUACUAUUGGAGGAGCAGCUAUCGGGCUUUCUUUUGGAAUCCUUUCUUUCGCUAAUAUCAAAUCAAGUUGGAUUGCAUGAAGCCAUCAACUAUCUUGAUCUCUAAAUUAGUUUGGUGAUAUAAUUUGAGAAAUUGGUAUUUGGGAUUCUGAAUUUUCUAGGUUAAAAUCCUCAAAUUUUGUUGAUGUGAUGUUUACUGUCUCAAAUAGGAAAUUUGGGUGGCAAGGUUGAAUCAGAAAAAGAAAAAGGAGGCAAAGUUGGCCAAUUAUGUGCAUCACCAGGACAGCAACAACAUGCAUCAUUCCGGUUUUAGGCCAACACGGGUUGCAGCAAUAACUAAAUUUACAAGGUUAAUAUCAAAGCUUUUCAGUUCUCUUCUCUAUCUGUAAAUAAGCUAUUAAGAUGUAGAAAAUGUCAGGGUUAUUAGUGUGUUUGAAAUCUGUACAUAUUUGCAUUAUUGUGUCAAAUAAACUCAAUCAAUUUUAAAUGUGAAGG